AAUGAAACUGAUCUCCCCGUGAAGAAGCGGGGAUACAAAUAUAAGACGAGAAGACCCCAUGGAGCUUUAAACCCAACAACACCCACUUAUUUUUACCCUUAUACUCAUUCUGGCCCUGUUUGUUUGGUUUUAGGUUGGGGUGACCGCGGAGCAUAAAACAACCUCCACGAAAAAUGGACCAACAAUCCUUAUCAAAGAAGUACACUUCUAUGAAUUAACAAAUUAAUUUUUAAUGAUCCGAUAUUCGAUCAACGAACCAAGUUACCCUGGGGAUAACAGCGCAAUCCACCUUAAGAGCUCCUAUCGACAGGUGGGUUUACGACC
rnacentral:rRNA from 1 species